rnacentral:rRNA from 1 species
AGAGUUUGAUCCUGGCUCAGGAUGAACGCCGGCGGUGUGCCUAAUACAUGCAAGUCGUACGCACUGGCCCAACUGAUUGAUGGUGCUUGCACCUGAUUGACGUUGGAUCACCAGUGAGUGGCGGACGGGUGAGUAACACGUAGGUAACCUGCCCCGGAGCGGGGGAUAACAUUUGGAAACAGAUGCUAAUACCGCAUAACAACAAAAGCCACAUGGCUUUUGUUUGAAAGAUGGCUUUGGCUAUCACUCUGGGAUGGACCUGCGGUGCAUUAGCUAGUUGGUAAGGUAACGGCUUACCAAGGCGAUGAUGCAUAGCCGAGUUGAGAGACUGAUCGGCCACAAUGGAACUGAGACACGGUCCAUACUCCUACGGGAGGCAGCAGUAGGGAAUCUUCCACAAUGGGCGCAAGCCUGAUGGAGCAACACCGCGUGAGUGAAGAAGGGUUUCGGCUCGUAAAGCUCUGUUGUUGGAGAAGAACGUGCGUGAGAGUAACUGUUCACGCAGUGACGGUAUCCAACCAGAAAGUCACGGCUAACUACGUGCCAGCAGACGCGGUAAUACGUAGGUGGCAAGCGUUAUCCGGAUUUAUUGGGCGUAAAGCGAGCGCAGGCGGUUGCUUAGGUCUGAUGUGAAAGCCUUCGGCUUAACCGAAGAAGUGCAUCGGAAACCGGGCGACUUGAGUGCAGAAGAGGACAGUGGAACUCCAUGUGUAGCGGUGGAAUGCGUAGAUAUAUGGAAGAACACCAGUGGCGAAGGCGGCUGUCUGGUCUGCAACUGACGCUGAGGCUCGAAAGCAUGGGUAGCGAACAGGAUUAGAUACCCUGGUAGUCCAUGCCGUAAACGAUGAGUGCUAGGUGUUGGAGGGUUUCCGCCCUUCAGUGCCGGAGCUAACGCAUUAAGCACUCCGCCUGGGGAGUACGACCGCAAGGUUGAAACUCAAAGGAAUUGACGGGGGCCCGCACAAGCGGUGGAGCAUGUGGUUUAAUUCGAAGCUACGCGAAGAACCUUACCAGGUCUUGACAUCUUGCGCUAACCUUAGAGAUAAGGCGUUCCCUUCGGGGACGCAAUGACAGGUGGUGCAUGGUCGUCGUCAGCUCGUGUCGUGAGAUGUUGGGUUAAGUCCCGCAACGAGCGCAACCCUUGUUACUAGUUGCCAGCAUUAAGUUGGGCACUCUAGUGAGACUGCCGGUGACAAACCGGAGGAAGGUGGGGACGACGUCAGAUCAUCAUGCCCCUUAUGACCUGGGCUACACACGUGCUACAAUGGACGGUACAACGAGUCGCAAGCUCGCGAGAGUAAGCUAAUCUCUUAAAGCCGUUCUCAGUUCGGACUGUAGGCUGCAACUCGCCUACACGAAGUCGGAAUCGCUAGUAAUCGCGGAUCAGCAUGCCGCGGUGAAUACAUUCCCGGGCCUUGCACUCACCGCCCGUCA